UAUUUUAGUCUUGUUAGAGGAACCUGUUUUAUAAUCGAUAAACCACGUAUAUUUCACUUAUUUUAAAUAACUUGUAUACCGUCAUUAUUAGAUAACUUUCAAAAAAUUAGUUAUUAAAAUUAAAUAAAAUUAAAUAUAUUAGAUCAAGGUGCAGUUUAUAAAUAAGAAAAAAUGGGUUACAAUAAAAUUUAUCUAAAACGAAUUAUAUAAAUGUAAAAAUAUAUGAAGGAGGAUUUAAUUGUAAUUUUUUUUUAUAAGAUAAUAAUAUGAUAAUAGCUCUAAAAUAU
rnacentral:rRNA from 1 species